rnacentral:rRNA from 1 species
GUGUCAGCCGCCGCGGUAAUACGGAGGAUCCAAGCGUUAUCCGGAUUUAUUGGGUUUAAAGGGUGCGUAGGCGGCUUAUUAAGUCAGGAGUGAAAUACGGCAGCUCAACUGUCGCAGUGCUCUUGAUACUGGUAAGCUUGAAUAUGGACGAAGAUGGCGGAAUGAGACAAGUAGCGGUGAAAUGCAUAGAUAUGUCUCAGAACUCCGAUUGCGAAGGCAGCUGUCUAGGUCAUUAUUGACGCUGAUGCACGAAAGCGUGGGGAUCAAACAGGAUUAGAUACCCUGGUAGUCCACGCCCUAAACGAUGAUAACUCGAUGUUAGCGAUAUACUGUUAGCGUCUCAGCGAAAGCGUUAAGUUAUCCACCUGGGGAGUACGGCCGCAAGGUUGAA